UACGUAGGUGGCAAGCGUUGUCCGGAUUUACUGGGCGUAAAGAGCGCGCAGGCGGUCGUUCAAGUUCGCGUGUGAAAGCCCCCGGCUCAACUGGGGAGGGUCACGCGAUACUGAUCGACUCGAAGGCAGGAGAGGGUAGUGGAAUUCCCGGUGUAGUGGUGGAAUGCGUAGAUAUCGGGAGGAACACCAGUGGCGAAGGCGGCUUCCUGGACCUGUUCUGACACUGAGGAGCGAAAGCGUGGGGAGCGAGUCCGG
rnacentral:rRNA from 1 species